CCAGCUCCAAUAGCGUAUAUUAAAGUUGUUGCAGUUAAAAAGCUCGUAGUCGAACCUUGGGCUUGGCUGAAGGGUCUGCCUCACGGUACGUACUCUUCUGGCCGGGCCUUUCCUUCUGGCGAGCCAGGGUGCUCUUGAUUGAGUGCUUUGGGGAACCAGGACUUUUACUUUGAAAAAAUUAGAGUGUUCAAAGCAAGCAAUCGCUUGAAUACAUUAGCAUGGAAUAAUAGAAUAGGACUUUGGUUCUAUUUUGUUGGUUUCUAGAACCGGAGUAAUGAUUAAUAGGGAUAGUUGGGGGCAUUAGUAUUUAAUUGUCAGAGGUGAAAUUCUUGGAUUUAUGAAAGACUAACUUCUGCGAAAGCAUUUGCCAAGGAUGUUUUCA
rnacentral:rRNA from 1 species